CAUUGCCUCCCAGCAGCCCCGGGCGGGGGCGGGGCACCUAUUUGGAUCUUGGGAAAGUUAUUUCCAUCUCUGGCCAGUUUAUAUAUAGACUGGGUGGAAUGCUCACAGGGAAAAGACUAAUAAUGAAGUUAAUAAUAAUAAUAGCUACAUUAAUAAUGGUAAACUGGUGGAUGAGGAGAAUACUAUUAAUAUAGUUUACCUGGAUUUUGUCAACAUUUUUGACAAAGCUUGAUAAGAGGAGCAACGGUUUUGCUGUGAAAGGGCACUGUACCUAAUCUCCUGUUUGAUCUCCGAAGGAACUUCAAAAAUAAAUGUUUGAAAGAAAAACUCUUAGAUUUAGGGCAUAGGAUAAUAUCAAAGAAUCCUCCUUGAGUGAAGCUGUGCAGAUUUCCACUUUUUGGUGAUCUAAUGCUAUUCCGCAGGUCAUUUGUUACAGACACAUUUCUGGCAAAGAAAAUUGUUUUACGAUUUAACAAGAGGUUUCACCCAGCAGACUUCAUCGUGUCCUUUGGAAAAGGCCACUUUUUAGAGCUCCUCUCAUUUUCCCCUGCAAAGAAUGACCUACGAUUUGAACAAAGCCUCACUAAGGUCUACUUUAGAAGUUCAAAAUGCUCUACUUUGCCAUUUCUGUGACACACCACAUGAGCUGUACUGCUCUCACUGUGUCGAUAGCUCAAUUAGCUGCUGACAUGUUGCCUCCUACUGCAGUGAUUUCCAAGAUGCUCUUCUUUCUCCCUCAGGAUUUUAACAUUUCACAAUACCCCUUGAGACAUCUGGAAACAGGGCAAAUUGUUGCAAAACCAAGGUAGAAAAUUCUUGCUUUAUUAACUCAUCCUUCACCAACUCUUUGCAUCAGCUAGAGCUCAAUCAAAAGGACAUUUGUACCCCCGAGACAAGGCUUGAGCAUCAUACUCCUUGAGUUAGAAGUGGAGCCUUUAUUAUUAUAUAUUGGACUUGACAAAAAUGUAAUAAUAACUCACAUUGAUAAAGAUUAUAAAAUACUUUCCUUAUGAAAACCUUGUGGGGGCAUGCAGGGGAUAAAAAUUAUUCACCUGUAUAAUACAGGACAUGACAUUAAAAAUAACUGAC